AUUGAACGCUGGCGGCAUGCCUUACACAUGCAAGUCGAACGGCAGCACGGGAGCAAUCCUGGUGGCGAGUGGCGAACGGGUGAGUAAUAUAUCGGAACGUGCCCAGUCGUGGGGGAUAACGCAGCGAAAGCUGUGCUAAUACCGCAUACGAUCUACGGAUGAAAGCGGGGGAUCGCAAGACCUCGCGCGAUUGGAGCGGCCGAUAUCAGAUUAGCUAGUUGGUGGGGUAAAGGCCCACCAAGGCGACGAUCUGUAGCUGGUCUGAGAGGACGACCAGCCACGCGGGAGCUGAGACAAGGUCCAGACUCCUACGGGAGGCAGCAGUGGGGAAUUUUGGACAAUGGGCGCAAGCCUGAUCCAGCAAUGCCGCGUGCAGGAUGAAGGCCUUGGGGUUGUAAACUGCUUUUGUACGGAACGAAACGGCCCUUUCUAAUACAGGGGGCCAAUGACGGUACCGUAAGAAUAAGCACCGGCUAACUACGUGCCAGCCGCCGCUGUAA
rnacentral:rRNA from 1 species